GCUGCACAUUGGCCGGGCAGAACUUCUGAACUGCUUGAGUUAGCACUGAAUGCUUGAUGCUGUGUGGAGCCUAGGAGCCGCCAUGGUGAUUAAAAUGAUCAACUAAGACGAUCAAGAUAUGUGAAAUAAUUAAUGGAGCAGUGGGCUGCCAUUGUGUGGCGCCCGGGGAGCAUUCAGAGGCUAAGGGUCUUGCCCAAGGACACAACAACUGAGACAGGCAGGGAUUCGAACCUGCAACCCACCACAUAUUUGCAAAGACCAGAGGAUGGAGGUGCUUGGUGAAUAUGUAAGAUCAAGAAAUGUGCCAGAGGAAGACAUCGAGCAAACAGAAAAGGACAAGAUUGAUCCAAGUGUUAUAAGGCUUAUGACAGAUGAGGAACUAAAGGAGUAUUUACCAUCCUAUGGUGAUUGAGUGGCUGUUUUCGGAUACUGCAGACGCAGAGAACCAGAACCCAGCAGUCGGAAGUCCAAACUUUUUGAAAUACUAAGACCAAAAAGACAGUGUGGAAAAUAAAGAACACCCCAAUUCAAAUACUAAGAAAAGUGCAAGAAAGAUUGAGCUGGGUUGGCUGCAUUUCAGAGAUAAAGAUAAUUAAUUAGUCCAGAUGCACACAAAAAAAGGUGGUGGAACCCAAAAAGACAGUGUUUCCAAGGACAGUAAAAAGAAAGACUUAAUAGAAAGAGCUGCACAACUUUUUUUCCCAGGGGAACAAAUUUAGAAGGUAAUAUUUCUGAAUUUGUACUGGAUUUAACUGACUUUCAGGCAAAUCCUUUGCCAGUGUUGCGUUACUACUAGAGAAGUUGUUAUAACAGUAAAUCUUGAAGACACCAAAGUUCAGUUUGUAAAUUCAACUGAUCACUCUGUGUCCCCCCCAGCCUUCAGGCAGUGUAGCUACCAGUAGUUUGGAGUUAAAUCACACGGAUGUGGUUUAUACUGGAAGUAGCACAGUUUUUAGAGAGCAACAUAUGGGUUAUGGAUAUUGCUUAGUUUUAUCCCAAAGUAAACAACAACAACAUCAUUCUGUUUGUAUAGGUUUAAGCACUAAAGUAUAAAACGCAAAUUACUUUUGCAAGAGGUUUGAAACAUUUUUCUACAGAUUGUUAUAUGUUCAUAUAGCUUAUGUUUUAUGAUGUUGUGGCUUCAACAAGUUUAUAGCUACAUUUGCACAAGUUUGAUGUAAGUUGUUGAUAUACCUCAAUCUAAAUAAUUAUUCACAUCAACAAACACUAACGUCUGAAGUUGCUGGUGUAGUUUUUUCAUCUAACGGACUGAGCUAAAAAAUGCAGAGUUGCACUCUUUUUCAAGAUGUUUUUUCCAAGUAUUCAAAAGUGUGUUCUUUUUACUCAAGUAAAGGCAAGUGCAUGGAUUCAGAAACUGUUAUCCAUACAGCUGUUUUUUCUAAGAUAUUUUGAUAUUCAGACAUGUAUUGUUCAGGCACUGUCGAGGCACAAAACACUUGUGAAGUGCUGUACAUUGUUACAGAUUACAA